AGAUUGUUUAUAUAGCAUCAGAAGUGUUGCGUGUGUGUCUGUGUGUGCAUAUACACACAUACACACAUAUCUAGUAUAUAUGUAUAUCUAAA
rnacentral:miRNA from 1 species